UACGGAGGGGGCUAGCGUUGUUCGGAAUUACGUGGCGUAAAGCGCACGUAGGCGGCUUUGCAAGUCAGAGGUGAAAGCCCGGGGCUCAACCCCGGAAUUGCCUUUGAGACUGCAUCGCUAGAAUUGUGGAGAGGUAAGUGGAAUUCCGAGUGUAGAGGUGAAAUUCGUAGAUAUUCGGAAGAACACCAGUGGCGAAGGCGACUCUUUGGUCUGUAACUGACGCUGAGGCGCGAAAGCGUGGGGAGCGAACAGG
rnacentral:rRNA from 1 species